rnacentral:rRNA from 1 species
CCUACGGGGGGCAGCAGUAGGGAAUAUUGCUCAAUGGGGGAAACCCUGAUGCAGCGACGCCGCGUGAGUGAAGAAGUAAUUCGUUAUGUAAAGCUCUAUCAGCAGGGAAGAAAAUGACGGUACCUGAGUAAGAAGCCCCGGCUAACUACGUGCCAGCAGCCGCGGUAAUACGUAGGGGGCAAGCGUUAUCCGGAUUUACUGGGUGGAAAGGGAGCGUAGACGGCAGUGCAAGUCUGGAGUGAAAGGCGGGGGCUCAACCCCCGGACUGCUCUGGAAACUGUACGGCUGGAGUGCAGGAGAGGUAAGUGGAAUUCCUAGUGUAGCGGUGAAAUGCGUAGAUAUUAGGAGGAACACCAGUGGCGAAGGCGGCUUACUGGACUGUAACUGACGUUGAGGCUCGAAAGCGUGGGGAGCAAACAGGAUUAGAUACCCGUGUAGUC